UUGGAGGGCAAGUCUGGUGCCAGCAGCCGCGGUAAUUCCAGCUCCAAUAGCGUAUAUUAAAGUUGUUGCAGUUAAAAAGCUCGUAGUUGAAUUUCGGGAUCAGAUUGUCGGUCGUGCCUCGGUACGCACUGGCAUUAUUGGUUCCUACCUUCUGAAGAACCGCGAUGUCAUUAAUUUGGUGUCGUGGGGAAUCAGGACUGUUACUUUGAAAAAAUUAGAGUGUUUAAAGCAGGCGCACGCUUGAAUACAUUAGCAUGGAAUAAUGAAAUAGGACGUUUGAUUCUAUUUUGUUGGUUUCUAGGAUUGACGUAAUGAUUAAUAGGGAUAGUUGGGGGCAUUAGUAUUCAAUUGUCAGAGGUGAAGUUCUUGGAUUUAUUGAAGACUAACUACUGCGAAAGCAUUUGCCAAGGAUGUUUUCAUUAAUCAAGAACGGAAGUUAGGGGAUCGAAGACGAUCAGAUACCGUCGUAGUCUUAACCAUAAACUAUGCCGACUAGGGAUCGGAUGAUGUUAAUUUUUUAAUGACUCAUUCGGCGCCUUACGGGAAAC
rnacentral:rRNA from 1 species